CCUGGGGCUGCCCUGCCCCGCUGCCCACCUGCCUUGCGGGGCCCUGAGCCUGACCCCCGGGCCACAGCAGCUGCCCACGGCAGCGCUGUGGGUUCUCCCAGAACAUCCCCCCAGCGCUGUCCCGCCGGACCGUAAGCCUCACUACACAGAUGGAAAGCAAUGGAAAAAUUACGAAGUUACUAGGGCUUUCCAGAGAGUUUGACGCCUGCAGAGAUCUUCCUGCAGGGCUUUUCCGCAGAGCUGUCAGUUUCCUGCAGUCUAAGCUUUGCCCUGUGCGCUCGAGGAUACCCUCUCAUCACGGACAGAAAUGCCCUGUGGAAUAUGCAGCCUUCAGUGAAGUUCUGCAGAAGAGAUCCUUCCACAAGAAAAAGUCAGAGACCAAACACCACUUAAAUAGGAUACACACAGAAGUGUGGUGAGAUCCAGAGCAUGCCCAUGAAAUCAUCUGUUUAUUUAUGAUAAGAAACUCACUUCCUCUUGGAUAACCUCAGGAUUUCUUUUGUUAAACCCUUGGCAGCUUAAAAGUCAUCUUGCUUUCCAGCGUCUGAGCCUUCUUCCUUUCUCUUCCUUCUCUCUUCCCCAUACAAGGGCCCCCUCUCUUCACUCAGCUCCCACUCUCCCUCUCAAAUGACAUUCUUUCUGUACUUGUCUGCACAAACAGCACAAGGCCCAGGCUGUGCUUCUGUAAGCCAGGAAUAAUGCCUUAGUCUUUUGCAGUGAUUGAUGCACUAUCCAUGGAGAAUACUGUGCCAUGGUCAGAGAGGUUCACAAAGCCAUGCACCGUUAGGAUACCUGCUGGUCUGCUUUUUACUUUCACUGUAACUUAAAUAGAAAAAUGUGGUAAAUGUUCCAUAAGUAUAUGGUCUUCGUGGUUCUUGUUGUUGUUGUUGUUGUAAAGUUGUAGCUCACGAUUUCAAGUCAGAUUCCAGGGAGCUCCAAGCAGCUCACAUUUCCUCUCCUAAACCUUUGGCCUGACAUUACACAAGUACCUUCCAUGCGUAUGCAAAGACUAGAAUACAGCUAGAAUACUAGAGUACAGAAUACAGGAUGUUCAUACUUGCCCAGCUUGGGUGAGUAGUGACAUUGUGUUUUACCUUAUGCCUGAGCCUGCACCUGAGGCAUGCAGGCAUCUAUUACAGGACAAUUUCUAAAAGUUAAGAGAUUUACAGGACAAGUUCUAAAAGUUAAGAGAUUUCAAUUCCAUUGUGAUCUUGAGUAGCUGAGUUCUUUAAUAUUACCAGGGAAGUUCCCAUUUCCAUCAAGUCAACAGCAGAAUUCUCAUUAACUUCAGCAUUAAAUGGGAAUAUUCACUGAGCAUCUGUCAGGGGGAAAAAGAUAUGACACAAAUUUGAGAGUUUUAAAUACCUGUACUGAAAACCUUGAUCCAAACAUACUGAGAUGCUGGAAGUUCAGGAAAAG
rnacentral:lncRNA from 1 species